UCCCCACACUACUGUGAGGGUGAUUUCAUAUUCCACAACCCUUUAUAACGUAAUAUUCCUGGAAACACAUGGUGCCUACAGUCUGCUCCAGGCUUGGUGCUCUCAGUGGGCACAAUCUGUAAAGGAUCCUUGAGGACUGAACACAGUAUAGAAAUGUUAGAGCUGAUGAAGAUUUAAUGGUGUACCUCCAACGAAAAGCUUGGGAAUGGGAUGGAGUGUUACCUAUGUCUGGCUUGCAGACAGGAAGGUGACAUAAUUCCUUUGCAACCUCACAGAAAGAGAUCAAAUGAAUUUUUUUGCAGUUGCUGUAGUUUGAUGAAGCCCUUCUGUACUGAAGCAGCCGGCAUCCCUCACAGUGAAAUGUGAUCAGAAGGCAAGUGAACAUGCCUUUAGUUCAUAUCUCAGUCUCUGCCCCUGGUUCCAGGAUGGUCUUGUGGAAGAAAAAUGAUGAUGUUAACGUACUCCUGAUAUAAACUAAUGUUUUGCAAAGGAGCUGGCUCCAUCUGCGAAGGUCGGAACCAUCUCUUGCAGUGCACUGCCCCCUAGCACUGCCGCGCACAUUCCUGCAGGACGGAGAGGAGGAGGACACUUUUCCCGGUCAACAACACCUGCGGGACAUGGCUUUCCGUGGGAAUUUUCACACCAACUAUUGACCCAGCCCGGUCAUGCUUGGCUUGCGGGAUCCGACAAGAUCACAGCAUGAAGUUGUAUGGCUGCUCGUUUUUCCCAUGCAGACAGAGCAUAGAACAGGAAUUCAAAGAGAAGUCUCCUUUCAGUUCCUUCAUUGACUUUCUCUGUUGCUCUGACAUGAUUAUCAAUAUUUUCUCAUAUAAAUAAACACUCAGAAUUCUUG